GUGAGAGCAAGAGCCCGGAGAUGGAUUCUGAGACACGAAUCCAGGCCCUACGGGGUGCAGCAGGCGCGAAAACUUUACAAUGCUGGCAACAGCGAUAAGGGAACCUCGAGUGCCAGGUUACAAAUCUGGCUGUCGAGAUGCCUAAAAAGCAUUUCAUAGCAAGGGCCGGGCAAGACCGGUGCCAGCCGCCGCGGUAACACCGGCGGCUCGAGUGGUAACCGUUAUUAUUGGGUCUAAAGGGUCUGUAGCCGGCCGGAUAAGUCUCUUGAGAAAUCUGGCAGCUUAACUGUCAGGCUUUCAGGAGAUACUGUCUGGCUCGAGGCCGGGAGAGGUGAGAGGUACUUCAGGGGUAGGGGUGAAAUCUUGUAAUCCUUGAAGGACCACCAGUGGCGAAGGCGUCUCACCAGAACGGACCUGACGGCAAGGGACGAAAGCUAGGGGCACGAACCGGAUUAGAUACCCGGGUAGUCCUAGCCGUAAACGAUACUCGCUAGGUGUCGGCCACGGUGCGACCGUUGUCGGUGCCGUAGGGAAGCCGUGAAGCGAGCCA
rnacentral:rRNA from 1 species